ACGGUCAAAUCACGUUGAAAACACCGGUUUUUCGUUCGAUCACCGAAGUUAAGCAUCGUAGAGCCAGGUCAGUACCUUAGAUGGGGGACCGCUUGGAAACACCUGGUACUGUAAG
rnacentral:rRNA from 1 species